CACACACACACACACGCACACACACACACACACACACACACACACACACACACACACACACACACACACACACACACACACACACACACACACCAAACAACCAGCGUCCGCUCCGCGCAGGGAUAGAAACAGAACAACAACCGAACACACACCCGGCCUGCGAGCGGUGAGUGUUCUGGAAAUCAACCGCCGUGACACCAGAGACAACGGGCUGAGAACCAGGCACGCGUCCACACAAGCGAGCAGGCGCCGACGCACACGCAAACACGUGCACAUAAACACACACGCGAGCAUGCACCAUCACACACACACACACCCAAACGCACACGCAGAAAUGCACACACAAAUGCAAGCACACACCUGACUAAAAGCUGUUCUGGCUGUGGGGUGUUAUUUGGGCUGCAAGUUAUUAUCGUCGUUAUCAUCAUCAUCAUCAUCAUCAUCAUCUGUCUUGCUUCCAAUACGUAUUAUCUUCCUAUUCUUCACAUGCUAGCAGAGCCAGACUCCCUGUGUAUAAAUAAGAGCUCCUGCAAAAUGGGCUCGACCGACCGACACACACACACAGACACACACACACACACACACUGGACCCACCCAACAAUGCCCUAAUCCAGCGUUUGUCCCCUCCUUUCGUUCUCCAAGAUGUUUUCAGUUGUCAAUAACCAUACUGGGAACUGUUUGCGCGUCAGGCCCAGUCAGGGACAGAUCCACCAUUGUGUUCCCAGCAAGAGUAUCCAUCGCUCCCACAGCAGGAGUGGAUCGGAGCCCUGCUGGCUCGCCACCGUGCCACGGGUUUUACAUUUUAUACGGAAAUCCAAAACAACAGCGGCCUGCGGUCGCGCUUGGAAAACACAUGUUUUUUUAUUCUCCAGAGCCCGGACAUACAUCCUGUGUGAUCGGACAGAAGGACGCUGUUAGCAAUGCCAUACAUCGGGAUGAUAAAACGAUUGUUCAGUCUUCUCGAGAGAAGUUCGGUCACGGGCGUGUUGUCACGACGACAUGUUAUUUUGAUCGAUGCGUUCCCCUUCGAUACGGCACAUACCUUCUUCGGAGACCGUUUGCGUGUAAUUUAUCGGACAUGUGCGUCGUCGGCAUUGAAGCGCAGCAUGAAAAGAAACCCUGAGAAAUCCCACAAACGUAAAAUCACGUCGCCAAAGGCCUUCCGAUAUCGGACACCCGAAGUCAUUGGAAGGUCACGUCUCAGAACGUACGUAUGUUGUAUAAGCGUCACCACUCGUCCCCAAAGACCUCUGUUCACGAUGGACAGGGGACAUCAUCCGAGCUCAACACCGACUGUCAGUCUGGGAAUCUCCAGUAUCCAGUCCGGUUGAAGUUUGUUUCCAACUGUAACGUCUUACAGUCAACAAUCAGGGCCACAUAGGCUGCGUCUUGUCUCUCUGUGAGUGAAUCCCAACUGUCACUGCAAGACGUUGACAGGAGGAGAAACUAUUUGUUUGACUCGCCAGCGUGUCCCUAAAUUUAAAAUGCACAAUGACCAUUAGUGUGUUGGGUUUUGUUCCCCCCGAGAGGCCUUUUAUGCGUCAGGCAUCUCCGGGAGAAUGACGGUUCACUCCACAAUCCGCCAUCUGGGAACGUCUUCUUUGUUGUGUCUGGGUUUGAUAUAUCGAUAUAAAAAACAGCAUCAGUUUUACUUUGUUGUGCCGGAAAAAAGAGAAUAUAUAAUUUAAGAAAUAUCCAGACAGCCGGACUGCUUUGUCCUAGCUGUCCUUUCACCCAAACUAUCCAUUCUUAAACUCGUCCGAAGGUCAAGAUCCCUUGGUUGAUUCUGAAAUAAUGAUGAUCAAAUAAUACAAUGUUACAAAGAUCAAACCAGUCGUUUUGAAACGUGAAACUCCACCACAGCUGUUUGUUCAAACGUCGGAGGAUUCCUAGUGCAUGAUAUCAGGAAAGAUGGCCGCUCCAACUGUCAUUGUGUACCCCCCUAACGUGUGAAUGAUGUGCGUGUGGUUGCCAUGUUCUACUGUGUGUUCCUGUAGGGGUUGCCAGGUCUCUCCACACUGGCUGCUUUGCACAGCAACCAAAUCCUGACCGUCAAGGUUUGUCAGUGGAAAUGCCCCCCAGAGUCGCUUGGUACGACCCGACCCCCUUCCUCCACUCCUCAGCAGCACCCACUGGACGGGACGUACCACCACUCAAGACUAGGAUUUAGGGGGCUAGGAGAUAUAAGACCCUAACUCAUUCGUCAUGAUGUUGUUACUCUACAUCCACUAACUACCUACCUCCACUGUUUGUUAGGAUAUUCCACUUUCAGUUUGGUGAUUAGGAAAGACACAACACAAUGUCAAUGGCAUUGUUAAGUAAAGUAAAACAAUGUAUUGAGAGACAAUUGAAGACCAAAAAUCCUUAACUGACCUGAUCCGAUCUCAUUGGCCCAGCCCAAACCCUUCCAAGACGCCAUCACUGGCCCCGAAUGAUUGACUCGUAGUUCACUAACCGUGAUAAACCCUAGACGGCUGAUACACAGGUCUGAACAGAAGCAGGGGUUGGUGGUUGACCUCCUCACAGAGGGAGGGCUAGUGUCCGUCCACUGGGAGCUUCUGCCUGGAGCUGGGUGGGUGGAGGUGGGUGGGUGGAGGUGGGUGGAGGGGGUCUGUCACGCCAAGCACUCGGGGGAUGAAGACCGCGCUUUCAAAGCGGCAGUGAAGGAGUUCCCGCUUUCUUUCUCCCCCCCCAUCAUGUCCCCCCCUCGCCUGUAGCCCCCCUCAGGGAGUAACUAUGGACAGAAGUCCUCAGAAUACAACCACCACUUGACAUGGGGCUGAUGAGGAGCAAAGAAGGUGUGGAUUUCUCCCCCCCCCCCUGGUGAAAGCGUGGUCUGGGCUCCAUGGGGGACAAGUGUUUUCUAACAUGAUUCUGUUUUUCUCUCUGCCCUUUUCCUUUUUUGUUUUUUUGCCAAUGCCUUCCUCCUUCCUCCUUGCUCUUCACCUGGGACCUCAUGCUCCUCCUCCAACCUUCUCUCACCUCUGACCUGCGACCUCUCGUCCUCUCGACCUCACCUGCUCAGAUGGUUUUCCCUAAGAUCAAUCAUGGCUUUCUUUCCGCUGACCAGCAGCUCAUUAAGAGACGUCUCAUUAAGGGCGACCAGGGGCAGGCCGGAUCCCCCGGGCCCCCGGGGCCUCCGGGCCCCCCAGGACCCCGAGGACCCCCCGGAGACACGGGCAAGGACGGGCCCCGGGGCGUGGCAGGUGUACCGGGCGAUCCAGGAACGCCGGGAGAAGUUGGACCGAUGG